GGUGACGGUUCCUGCACCUCGGACAGAACGUUCUCUCUUCGUGUUUCUGGUCUUUGAAUGUUCAGACAGUGCAGUACAUACUCAACAGAAUGAAGUUCAUUGUCUUGUGUGAACAUGCAGCAAUAAAUCUUUUAGUUACUUCAUGAGAUGCCACUGUGCUUCUGCCUAUAGAGAGAGAAUAACAGAAACCUGGGAGCGCUGAAGAUCUGACUCUGGAUCUGUGCAUUGAGAGCUGCUUACUCUUUACACGGGCUUGUGAUGAUGAUCAACAGGACUGAAAGACUUCUCUUGCUUCUUCAGCUGAAGAUGAUGGAUUCCUGUUCUGUCCAGCAAGAUGAGGCACAAAACCUUCCUCCCAUCCUUAUGCACACAAUACAGCAAAUGUUUUCUUGAACAAGUUCAAUCUGAAGCAAGUCUUCUGUAAUAAUGCAGAUCAUCAGUGAGCUUCAGACAGUUUGUGAGGACAUCCAGGAUUCAUGAACCAAGAUUUUCUGCGAGAGACCUUUGAUUCAACUCCAUACCUAUUACACCGUGAACGAGAAGACAUUCAGCAAGUAAAGGGUUGAACGAGAAAGAGCUGGACACUGAUUCAACAGCCUUGAAGAACUUCUGGAGCACAGAGCAGCUCCCUCUAAGUGCUUGUAAGAAGAACUUGAGAAGCCACUUGUAAUCUGCAACAUGUUUCAUUAUUUCACAUCAAAUGUAGAAUUUCUCCUGGUCAAAGCUGCGUAUGGUUUGCACUACUGUAUUGUGUGUUGUGAGAAAAUAAAACGGAUUUGUAUAAUGUAUAAUGAGAGUCAUUGAGAACAGAUGCACACUUUUAUGUAAACAAGAACAUCCAAGGAUCACUAUUAUCAGCUAAUGGAAAGCAAAGCUAGGAAUAAAAAAAUAUUCAGCUGAAAAGUCUAAAAUGUCUUUAACUCGUUGAUGUGUUUGGCAUCAUCUUAAGACUUCUGUAAUCACAGCAAUAAACACACGCAGGAGAGUACAGGCCGUCAUCAACAGCUUCAUCCCUCGUGUGGACAUGAGAAUAUUUUAUCAUAAAUCAUCUUCAGGCUAUGAUAGUCUCGGAGGUGAACAGCAUUAUAUAUUCAUAGGCUGCUCCGUUCCAGCAGUGAACCGGAAACACAGAGAUGAGGAACAGAGAAUAAACACCAGCAAUUAUAAUCUCAGUCUAUUGAAUUAAGUUCUUCAUUUAGGGAUGUAAACAUUUACACGUUACACUGCAAAACAGACGCAUGUUCAGAGCGUUUAUGCUGGUUUUUCUUUCUAAAAGGAUUAAAAUCCAUAUUUUUUUCACUAUAGAAAUAAACAAAUAACUGCAGACCACCCUUUUCUAAAGAUAUGCAUGAUUUGUGUAUGGUUCUUCCUGAUAAAUAAUAAAUAGGGACAGCUGUGUUUAAGCUCUGAAGGAAUAAAGCAGACCUGACCUGAGCCUGCAGUUUGCUCAAGGACUAAUAUUAAAUAAUGUUAAUGACUGUGGGAUAUGUCAGCUUUUUUUCAGAUAAUCCAUAAUUAUAAACCAUAAAAACAAAGGGCUGUGUUCAGUUUCGUAUGCCGUCCUGAUCUUUCUAAUUUUAGAAACUAUUCCCUUUCCUAACUGACCUGCAUGUGAAAUCAGCGUUCAGCCCAGUUUGACUCAUUAUUUGAUAAGACUGCCAAAGACAUAUUUACUGGAUUAAAGAAGCUAAUAUCUGUCCUCCUUUUGUUAAGAUAACCAAAGAAAUGUGACUGAAUUAAACAUAGAUGGAUAAAGAUUUUGUUAAGUUUGAAAAAGCCUGCUUUGC